rnacentral:misc_RNA from 1 species
GUGAAUCAUCGAAUUUUUGAACGCAAAUUGCACUCCCUGGUAUUCCGGGGCGUGUGCCUGUUUCAGGGUCGUUAGAAGAAAAAUCGAAGCAUCGCUCUUUUUUUGAGGGUUUUCGCGUCGGAAUUGAGCCGUCUUUCAAAUGUUAAUUCAUGUCAAAGUGGCUUUAAAUUCAUCCAUUCGGUACGAUUACAGCGUAUUUAAGAUCAAUUUUGAUUAAGAACGCGCGAUGACGUACCAUCACAUGUAGUACGUUUGACCUGGGUCAUCAUGUUCGUUCGUA